rnacentral:rRNA from 1 species
CGCGGCCUAUCAGCUUGUUGGUGGGGUAAUGGCCUACCAUGGCUUCGACGGGUAGCCGGCCUGAGAGGGUGACCGGCCACACUGGGACUGAGACACGGCCCAGACUCCUACGGGAGGCAGCAGUGGGGAAUAUUGGACAAUGGGCGGAAGCCUGAUCCAGCAACGCCGCGUGAGGGAUGACGGCCUUCGGGUUGUAAACCUCUUUCGGUGGGGACGAAGCGAAAGUGACGGUACCCACUAAAGAAGCACCGGCCAACUGCGUGCCAGCAGCCGCGGUAAUACGUAGGGUGCGAGCGUUGUCCGGAAUUAUUGGGCGUAAAGGGCUCGUAGGCGGUUUGUCGCGUCGGGAGUGAAAACCAUGAGCUUAACUCAUGGCUUGCUUUCGAUACGGGCAGACUAGAGGUAUGCAGGGGAGAACGGAAUUCCUGGUGUAGCGGUGAAAUGCGCAGAUAUCAGGAGGAACACCGGUGGCGAAGGCGGUUCUCUGGGCAUUACCUGACGCUGAGGAGCGAAAGUAUGGGGAGCGAACAGGAUUAGAUACCCUGGUAGUCCACACCGUAAACGUUGGGCGCUAGGUGUGGGGCCUAUUCCAUGGGUUCCGUGCCGCAGCUAACGCAUUAAGCGCCCCGCCUGGGGAGUACGG